GACUGGAAUGUUUAAGUCUCCCUGGUUGCGACGUUUAUCAGAACACUACAUACCCAGAGGCAAGCUGAAGAAGAAAGCUCAUUAUAUCAAAAAAUUAAUUACCUAUCACAAUACCCGGGGACAGCUGCACCCAAGAUAGAUAACCAAAAGGCAGCUGAAACGCGACGUUUAAUUACAUUUUUUUGCCUGGGGCAUACAUAUACUAUGGAAAAGGAUAUAUAAAAAGACUUCAAAAUACGGCGGCUUCCUAUUCUACUUGAAUUACUUUUAAAGGUAAUUUUAAUUUCAUUAGAUAUACUUUUGGUGCAAUGGUCUGUCGAACAUAUCAUGAAACAAGACUGCAUGAAACAUAUUUACAGAAAAAACAAAAGAAAUAUGCUAAUGUCCUUUUCAUAAGUCUUAAGUAGAAUGGUCCUAAUCGAUGUGGAAUAAGAAAGACAUUCAUAAACAUAUUUUGAUUAAGAGAUGGUAACAAAUUCGUCAGACACUAUGUAAAUGUUCAGUGCAUCGAGGUGCAUAACCGUUAUAAUUCUGAG